UACGAAGGGUGCAAGCGUUACUCGGAAUUACUGGGCGUAAAGCGUGCGUAGGUGGUUCGUUAAGUCUGAUGUGAAAGCCCUGGGCUCAACCUGGGAACUGCAUUGGAUACUGGCGAUCUGGAGUGCGGUAGAGGGUGGCGGAAUUCCCGGUGUAGCAGUGAAAUGCGUAGAUAUCGGGAGGAACAUCCGUGGCGAAGGCGGCCACCUGGACCAGCACUGACACUGAGGCACGGAAAGCGUGGGGAGCAAACAGG
rnacentral:rRNA from 1 species